rnacentral:rRNA from 1 species
GACGAACGCUGGCGGCGUGCUUAACACAUGCAAGUCGAACGGAAAGGCCCUGCUUGCAGGGUACUCGAGUGGCGAACGGGUGAGUAACACGUGGGUGAUCUGCCCUGCACUUCGGGAUAAGCCUGGGAAACUGGGUCUAAUACCGGAUAGGAGCCAUUUUUAGUGUGAUGGUUGGAAAGUUUUGUCGGUGUAGGAUGAGCUCGCGGCCUAUCAGCUUGUUGGUGGGGUAAUGGCCUACCAAGGCGGCGACGGGUAGCCGGCCUGAGAGGGUGGACGGCCACAUUGGGACUGAGAUACGGCACAGACUCCUACGGGAGGCAGCAGUGGGGAAUAUUGCACAAUGGGCGCAAGCCUGAUGCAGCGACGCCGCGUGGGGGAUGACGGUCUUCGGGUUGUAAACUCCUUUCGCUAGUGACGAAGCUUUUUGUGACGGUACCUAGAUAAGAAGCACCGGCUAACUACGUG